rnacentral:rRNA from 1 species
ACCCGCUGAACUUAAGCAUAUCAAUAAGCGGAGGAAAAGAAACCAACAGGGAUUGCCCUAGUAACGGCGAGUGAAGCGGCAACAGCUCAAAUUUGAAAUCUGGCGUCUUUGGCGUCCGAGUUGUAAUUUGCAGAGGGCGCUUUGGCAUUGGCAGCGGUCCAAGUUCCUUGGAACAGGACGUCAUAGAGGGUGAGAAUCCCGUAUGUGACUGGGUACCUACGCUCAUGUGAAGCUCUUUCGACGAGUCGAGUUGUUUGGGAAUGCAGCUCAAAAUGGGUGGUAAAUUUCAUCUAAAGCUAAAUAUUGGCCAGAGACCGAUAGCGCACAAGUAGAGUGAUCGAAAGAUGAAAAGCACUUUGGAAAGAGAGUUAAACAGUACGUGAAAUUGUUGAAAGGGAAGCGCUUGCAAUCAGACUUGCGCCUAGUUGAUCAUCCGGGCUUCUGCCCGGUGCACUCGAUUAGGCUCAGGCCAGCAUCGGUUUGGGUGGUUGGAUAAAGACUUGGGGAACGUAGCCUCCUUCGGGGGGUGUUAUAGCCCCAGGUGCAAUGCAGCCUACCUGGACCGAGGACCGCGCUUCGGCUAGGAUGCUGGCGUAAUGGUUGU